AAGGAAUGAGGAUGCACGCUCUGCUCGCUGCGUCCUUUCUUUUAUUAUUAUUAUUAUUAUUUUUCUCUGACUAAAAGGAAUCGCCGGGCGUUGUUUGCAUCCUUCACCUCUUGCCUUUGCUGUCUGCCCUGCUUGCUGGAAGCUGGGCUGAGCUGGGGACCUGUUGCCUGUGCUUCCCACAGCUGCUGGUGUCACCUCACGCGGGUGGCACUGGUGACAGAGGGUGAGCUUUGCUGGCGUGGAUGUGGGUACCUGCAGGCCUGGCUUGCUCCCAGCCUACACCAGGCAGUGUGCCCACCCCGUCAGCCGUCCCCGCUGACCCUUGCUGCGAAGGCGAGAGGUAUGGCCAGGGAAUGAGCUCAGCUCUGUGCUAUGCGCGAUGUCUGCACCCAUUGGCACCGCUUCCCACCACGGCGCACUGAGGCUGCUCCCUUGCUCAGGAUUCCCUGCAGCACCCCGAGGUCCCCAGGGCUCUGUGCUCCCCAUGUCCCCACUCUGGGCACAGCACCGGCGGUGCUGAGGGACCCCACACGUAGGCAUCCCCAUGCUCCAUCCUGCCCGGCUGGGAGGGGGCUGGGAGCCAUGAUAUCAGCCACCCGCAGCCUGACUCAUCCCAGCUCUCCAGCACAAGCAGUGCAGCUCAGCAGGGCACCCAUUUUAUUGCAAUUAAACUGAUAAGGCCCCAUGUAAUGAUUCUCACUCGUGACCAAGCGUGCCUGCUCCUGGCCAAAGGGCAAGAGGGGACACUGAAGGUGAUGGAGAGUUCCCAUCCGAGAGCUCAGCUCCUGCCAAAAGUCCCCGGGGGACCCAGCAUCAAAGCGUGGUCGUCAUCAGGGGAAAAUGCAACGUGACUUGUUCCUCCUGCUGCUCCCGGUCAGGUUUCUCCCUCCUAUUACAGGUUUGCAGCAAACAGGAGGUGAGUCAGGGCUUGUGGGGCGGGAGGCGACGAUGGAGCUGGGGAGGGAGCAGCUGCUCAGUGAAAGGUGAGCUGGUGCUAGGCAGGUGAAUCAUUCCGUGGGGAAAAUCGAUCAUAAUCCUCACAAGCAGCGCUGGCAGUGAGGCACAGCUUGGCUCGUUCAGUAAAUUGCAGAGCAAAGAGAAAAACAAGGCAAGGCUUUUUUAUUUUUUUCUUUUCUGAGGCAAUAAAUUGUGAGGGAGCAGCCUGCGAAGCUGCAGCAGCCGCGUUCCCUGGGCUCCUUAAAAGGGAGAUUUUAGUCCGGGACAGAAGGGAGACAGCAAAGCCGUAAACACCCUUGCAGGAAUGUGGCUGCUGAGAAAUGAGGCUCCCGCAGCAGUGGGGGGAGCAGAGCCGUGCCGGGUGCCUUGGCCAUUCCCACAUCUGGUGGUCCCCAGGGAGCUCUGACCCAGUGCUGUGUCCCUGCAUGCCCAGGUCCGUGCCAUGCACACGUCCCCAUGGCUGGCUGGUGGCGCGGGAUGUGACAGAGCCACAGGGCGAGGGGCGGCUGCUCGCAUCAGUGACUGCCCUGUGCGUUUGGGUAGGGGGUUCCCUUUUUACUCUUCUGAUCUUUUCACUCCCACAGGAUCUACAGACUGCCUCUCAGGGAUACUUGUUGCUGACGUAGCCCUGCACUUUUCUCCCACACCAGCAUGUGUUGCAUUUCCACUGAAGCCAGCUGGCAGGGACGGCUGCACGGACGCUCGGGUCGGAGCCACUGACUUUGGAUGGGCUGCCAGAGCUGGGUGAAGGCAUGGCUCACCACGAGCCCUGCGGCACUGGACCUGUCACGCUGAUGUCACCACGCAGCCUCAGCCCCAGGGAGCCAGGAGACACUUGGCACAGGGCUGGGGGCAGCGUGGGACUGGGACAGAUGCUGGUGUCCAGAAGGACCGCAGAG
ensembl:lncRNA